rnacentral:tRNA from 1 species
GCCGCCUUAGCUCAGUCGGUCAGAGCGACGCACUCGUAAUGCGUAGGUCGUGAGUUCGAUUCUCACAGGCGGCU